UACGAAGGGGGCUAGCGUUGCUCGGAAUCACUGGGCGUAAAGCGCGCGUAGGCGGGUCGUUAAGUCGGGGGUGAAAUCCUGGAGCUCAACUCCAGAACUGCCUUUGAUACUGAGGAUCUUGAGUACGGGAGAGGUGAGUGGAACUGCGAGUGUAGAGGUGAAAUUCGUAGAUAUUCGCAAGAACACCAGUGGCGAAGGCGGCUCACUGGCCCGUAACUGACGCUGAGGCACGAAAGCGUGGGGAGCAAACAGG
rnacentral:rRNA from 1 species